CUUGUUUGGGCAACUAUCCCUGGUCAGUUCCCUUUGCUUCUCUCUCAUCCCGCCUGAGGGGCACGUGGGCCGCGCAUGCCUCAAGAGUUGACAGCUACACACCAGGAAGGACUUCCAGAUGUCAGGAUUCAAGGCACAGGAUGAGGACUAUUGGUUUGCCUGCUUGUCCUUGUAGGCCGGAGGCCAGUUGUCACUCUGACCUCUGGAUGCAAGACCUGUGUCUGCCUGCGGAUGGCAGUGGGCCAACUCCUUCCCUUGUAGCCACCUGUGCUCCACAGGGACUUGCAGCACCCCGGGGCCUCACCCAGGCAGAGAGAGAGAAAUGAGAAGAAUCUCUAAAGAAGUGGACCUGGAGGUUCCUUUCUCCCGGCUGAAAGCUGAGAAUGGGCUCUUUUCCCUCUCCCACCUGUGCCUGGGAGCUGUGGACUACAAACGGUCUACUCACGGUCACACCCAGACCCAGCCGCCCACGCGCCGUCUUGCCACACACGAAAUCACACACACACGGGCACACGUGCAGCAGUGCUCACACACCUGCACUCCCACGUGCCCCUACGCCCGUCACCGUCUGGGAUGAGCCCAGUGCCAAGCCUGAGGGCCUGGAGGGGCGUCCUGCGACAGGUCCCCCCCAGCUCCCCCGACACCAGCCUGGCCAGAUGGUGGAGGCUGCCAGGCCCCAGGAGAGCUCUCUAUCACCGCUAACCCACCACUGCCAGUCGGGCGCACUGAGGCCUGGCUCUGCCCGAGUGGGGGCAGGGGGGCAAAUGAGGUAAUGUAGCUCACCGACACCCUCCACACCCCACACCCGGAUGAGGCCUGCCCCAUGGCCUUCCUUUCGUUGUUAAGCAGGGAGGAGCUUCUGAGCCGGGACACACAGAGUCGGAGAGACGAGACGGAGAUGCGCGGAUUCAUACAGAGCCAGCCCCACGCGCUCGGGAUUUCAUGGGACACAAAAGGACCCAGACGCAGGCAGACACCCCUUCCCCCUCUAGCCCCUGCAGGUACAGCUACCCCCUCCCCAGCCAUGAGCCACUCACCAAAGCCAGGGCUGAUUUUGCAGAAAGCCUGGCCAGGCCCCUAACCCCCCUUUGCCUCCUACCAUUGAA